GAUGAACGCUAGCGGCAGGCUUAAUACAUGCAAGUUGAGGGGCAGCAUGAUAUACGCGAGUAUAUUGAUGGCGACCGGCGGACGGGUGAGUAAUAGGUAGGAGACCUACCUCAUACAGGGGGAUAGCAUAGAGAAAUCUGUGGUAAUACCCCAUGAGGUUAUAUGAAUAGAGGCAUAUAAUCAAAGCAUAAGCGAUUAUGCGGUAUGAGAGGGGCCUACUGACCAUUAGCUAGUUGGUGAGGUAAGGGCUCACCAAGGCGAAGAUGGUUAGGGGUUUUGAGAGAGAGACCCCCCACAUUGGAACUGAGAGACGGUCCAGACUCCUACGGGAGGCAGCAGUAGGGAAUAUUGGGCAAUGGGCGAAAGCCUGACCCAGCCAUGCCGCGUGAAGGAAGACGGCCUUAUGGGUUGUAAACUUCUUUACUACGCGAAUAGAGGUUAGUACGAGAUACUAAUAGGAAGGUAGUGUAGUAAAAAGCCCGGCUAACUCCGUGCC
rnacentral:rRNA from 1 species